UAUCUGAUGGUCCAGUGGUUAAGACUGCAUUCCCAGUGCAUGGGGCCCAGGUUCAAUUCCUGGUCAGGGAA
rnacentral:tRNA from 1 species